GAAUUACAACAUAAUCUUUAACAUAAAUACAUAAUAGUAGUUAAUUAGUUUUACAAUAUAAUAUUUAAGUAUUUAACAAAAUAGUAGGUAAUUAAUUUUACAAUAUAAUAUUUAAGUAUUUAACAAAAUAGUAGGUAAUUAAUUUUACAAUAUAAUAUUUAAGUAUUUAACAAAAUAGUAGGUAAUUAAUUUUACAAUAUAAUAUUUAAGUAUUUAACAAAAUAGUAGGUAAUUAAUUUUACAAUAUAAUAUUUAAGUAUUUAACAAAAUAGUAGGUAAUUAAUUUUACAAUAUAAUAUUUAAGUAUUUAACAAAAUAGUAGGUAAUUAAUUUUACAAUAUAAUAUUUAAGUAUUUAACAAAAUAGUAGGUAAUUAAUUUUACAAUAUAAUAUUUAAGUAUUUAACAAAAUAGUAGGUAAUUAAUUUUACAAUAUAAUAUUUAAGUAUUUAACAAAAUAGUAGGUAAUUAAUUUU